rnacentral:tRNA from 1 species
GCCUCCGUGGCGCAAUCGGCUAGCGCGUUCGGCUGUUAACCGAAAGGUUGGUGGUUCGAGCCCACCUGGG